rnacentral:rRNA from 1 species
CCAGACUCCUACGGGAGGCAGCAGUGGGGAAUAUUGCACAAUGGGCGAAAGCCUGAUGCAGCAACGCCGCGUGAAGGAAGAAGGGUUUCGGCUCGUAAACUUCUAUCAACAGGGACGAAAGAAAUGACGGUACCUGAAUAAGAAGCCCCGGCUAACUACGUGCCAGCAGCCGCGGGAAUACGUAGGGGGCAAGCGUUAUCCGGAAUUACUGGGUGUAAAGGGUGAGUAGGCGGCAUGGUAAGCCAGAUGUGAAAGCCUCGGGCUUAACCCGAGGAUUGCAUUUGGAACUAUCAAGCUAGAGUACAGGAGAGGAAAGCGGAAUUCCUAGUGUAGCGGUGAAAUGCGUAGAUAUUAGGAGGAACACCAGUGGCGAAGGCGGCUUGCUGGACAGUAACUGACGUUGAGGCUCGAAAGCGUGGGGAGCAAACAGGAUUAGAUACCCUAGUA